rnacentral:lncRNA from 12 species
AUGCACGCAGCCCCUGCGUCGGGGACCCGCGGGCCCCGGUCCUGUCUACAGGAACCUGCAUGUUCCCCGUUACCCAGGAGCAAAAACAGUGGGGUUUCCUGCGCUGUGGGGCUUUGGGGGCUGAGCCCUGCAUGGCCUGGGAGGGAUUGGGACGGACCAGCUUCCUGGGCCUCGACUCUGACAUCCGCUGGCUCGCUCACUUCUGCACCCCCCUCUCCCCUCCCGUGCACGCUCGUCGCCUCACAUCGUGCAACCUUACUGGGCCCCUUCCUCUGCGUAUCACCCGGUCACCGGUGGAAAGCAAACCCCUCUGUCCUCCAGGACCACCCCGUCCGGUGGCGUGAGGCGCGGCCGGCUGCGCAGAGCUCGUUGGCCACGGGGGCGGCUCGGCUGGAGUGCGGUGCCCUUCACGCGUGUAAGCUCGCCCGGGAGCUGGGCCCCUGCGUGGCAAGGCGAUGUCUGCAAGUCACUGGGCCCAGAGAUACUGAGUCAGGGGGAGACGACAUGACCGCCUCGUGCUUCUGCGAGCUGGCCCCGACCACGCCACGGAGAACAGGUUAGAGGGCCGGACAGGUUAGAGGACCAGGUGAGAGGCCCCUGGAGCAUCACAAGUGAGAAAUGGCCAAGGCCAAAGCCAGGGCUGGUCUGUGAGGCAGUAGGAAGGGGCGAUCCAGACUGAGGCCGGGUGUGAAGGGGGCUCCUGUGCUGUCGCUGCCGUUUACCAGCUUCCCGGUGGCAGGUACAAUAUGGUGGGUGCCAGGAUCAAACCCCACCUCGAAGAGAGAGCUCCGGGCCACCCGUGCAGUUGUUCUGACAGACUGAAUGCCACGUGGUUCGCCCAGCAUUUGCCAUUGCCCAUCCCCAGGCAAAAGGGAUGCUGGGGUUGGGGACACCUGGGGGGCUCAGCGAUUGAGCGUCUGCCUUCGGCUCAGGGUCCAGGAAUCGAGUCCCGCAUCGGACUCCCCGCAGGGGGCCUGCUUCUCCCUCUGCCUGUGUCUCUGCCUCUCUCUGUGUGUCUCUCAGGAAUUUAAAAAAUCAAGAAAAAGAAGAAGAUACUAGGUUUGGAGAUUCUAAGAGAAGGGAUUUGGGGAAGGGUAUGGCCAUUGUGCUGAGCACCCCUUGCUGCCUCUUGAGGUAGGGGGUGCUUCCCUUUAUCUUGGGCGAAGCCGCCUGGGGGGUGCUUGAUAUCCAGAGUUUAGGGCCCAGAAGACUGAUAGGAGAUCCUUGCCCCUUGUGCACUCCCGAGUGCCCAGGACCCCACGUAAAGGUGUGUGACAUGAGUUAGACCCUGAGGCUAGAUGGGCCGGAGGUGGCCCCCCUGGAGCAAGACAGGAUGCAUGAGGUGUGACCCGGCCGGGUUGUUGCAGGCAAAGGGCAAGGGGCCCCCGUGGACUCCAGGUGAGAAGCCAGUUUGGGGCCUUUUUUAACCCAAAGGGUUUCUUCGGGGGGGGGUCCUUCAGCAGGAGAGCCCUGGAGGCCCCCCUUUUGUGUUGGAGACAAGGGGAUGUAGACAGUGGUGGGCAGCAGGAGGUUGGGGCAUUUUUAGUGCAGGGGGGGGGUG